rnacentral:rRNA from 1 species
UGGGGAAUAUUGCACAAUGGGCGACAGCCUGUUGCAGCAACGCCGCGUGAGCGAUGAAGGCCUUCGGGUCGUAAAGCUCUGUCCUCAAGGAAGAUAAUGACGGUACUUGAGGAGGAAGCCCCGGCUAACUACGUGCCAGCAGCCGCGGUAAUACGUAGGGGGCUAGCGUUAUCUGGAAUUACAGGGCGUAAAGGGCGCGCAGGUGGUUUCUUAAGUCAGAGGUGAAAGGCUACGGCUCAACCGUAGUAAGCCUUUGAAACUGGGAAACUGGAGUGCAGGAUAGGAGAGUGGAAUUGCUAGUGUAGCGGUGAAAUGCGGAGAUAUUAGGAGGAGCACCAGUUGCGAAGGCGGCUCUCUGGACUGUGACUGACACUGAGGCACGAAAGCGUGGGGGGCAAACA